CCCCAAACGGCCAAAACCAAACCCCGUGAAUUGAUUUAAAUCACUGUUCGCCAUCGCCUAGGGUUUUUCUCCAACUUUAGGGUUUCAGGCGUGUUCAUCGAUUUGAUUCAAGAUGUCCAGAGUGUAUGUUGGGAAUCUAGAUCCUCGAGUCACGGAACGGGAGCUUGAGGAUGAAUUUCGCGUUUUUGGAGUCAUCAGAAGUGUGUGGGUUGCUAGAAGGCCCCCUGGUUAUGCAUUCAUCGAUUUUGAUGACCGAAGAGAUGCCCAAGACGCCAUCAGAGAACUUGAUGGUAAAAAUGGCUGGAGGGUUGAGCUUUCACACAACUCUAGAGGUGGAGGUGGUGGUGGCCGUGGCGGGGGUCGCGGACGGUCUGGUUCUGAUUUAAAAUGCUAUGAAUGCGGCGAGCCUGGUCAUUUUGCUCGUGAGUGCCGAAUGCGGGGAGGUUCUGGAAGGCGUAGGAGUCGCAGCCCCCCUAGAUAUCGCCGGAGCCCAAGUUAUGGUCGAAGGAGUUACAGUCCUCGUGCACGUUCCCCUCCUCGACGACGCAGUUUGUCACCCAGAGGUCGCAGCUUCAGCAGGUCGCCUUAUCGCGGACGAGAGGAGGUGCCAUAUGCCAAUGGAAAUGGCGCUAGGGAAAGGCGCAGGAGCAGGAGCUGAAGUUGGACAAAUUAUUAGUAAUUUUGAAUCCAUGCAGAAGUUUUCGAAUUAUGUGUUUACUGUGCUUGGACUUAGUUACGGCUAUGUAGUGAGGUGCCACCCUCAGCUUCGACUCGUGGAUUUGGUUGUGUCUUUACUGCUUCAGUAGUUCUACCUGGUACUGCUUCAUUGGUUUUGAUGCAUCUGCACUUCUCUUUCGAUCUUCAUUGCCCUGCUGUGGGAUCUUCAAUUUGAAAGAUUGUGGAUCCCAGCUGGCUACACUGCUAGAUGCUUCUUUUGAUUGCAUGUCUGCGGAUGUGAUUCGCCUCUCGUCAAAUAGUUAUUCGAUUAGAUUUAAGAAUGAAGAGCGCUUCACGCACUUCCGGCAGUUAAUCCAUCGCUCGGAAGUCAUGAUGACUGGUUCCUUUAACAGUCCUUAAGAUUGUUCCUGUCAAAAAUGGGUUUUGGCCACUAUCUUUGCCUGAGUUGCAAGUUGAGAAAUUAAAGGCUGGUUUAUAGAGCUGAAAGCUGUUACGCUGGAGUAUAUGGCAGUUACAGCCUUUCAUUGGCGCUGGUUAGUUCCUUGUUGAAAUAGAAUCUUGUGUCAGUCUGGAUCAGGGUAAGUUUUCUUCUGCUGUAGGGCAAACCCUGUUCGUCAACGGGAUGGGAAUGAACUUGCUCUAUUUGUUUGGGCUGUUUCGGUGGUGGUGAUUGGGUCAGUGAUACACUCCAAAUCUGUCUUAUAUCUUGACAAGUAAAAGACCAUUAAAGCUCGAUGAUGACAGUUAGUUGAAGUUUGUCUCCCCUAAAUCUGCCUCCUGAUCUGUUUUCUUUAGCCUUCCCAAAAGUUUAGCAUUUUGCUGGGUUUGCCUGAAGUCCAAACUUGAUUGUCUUCAACAAAGAUCUCUGCAAUCGGCCCGUCGUCGCAUUUGUGCUUCACUGUGACACCUUGGCUUGGUUUUUUGCUUUCUGUUACUGAAUUCUUUUCCAAUUCUGUUCCUGAUAGCUGGAAUCUAUGUUAUUAAAAUUCUAAAUCGUCUAUUUUCUUUUGAUUAUAUUUUGCAUAAUUUUCCUUGGCCUGUAGAUUU